rnacentral:rRNA from 1 species
CCUACGGGUGGCAGCAGUGGGGAAUAUUGCGCAAUGGGCGAAAGCCUGACGCAGCGACGCCGCGUGAGGGAUGAAGGUCUUCGGAUCGUAAACCUCUGUCAGCAGGGAAGAACGGUCACUGUGCUAAUCAGCAGUGAAUUGACGGUACCUGCAAAGGAAGCACCGGCUAACUCCGUGCCAGCAGCCGCGGUAAUACGUAUGGAGCAAGCGUUAUCCGGAUUUACUGGGCGUAAAGGGAGCGUAGGCGGCCUGCCAAGUCUGAUGUGAAAUACCGGGGCUCAACCCCGGGGCUGCAUUGGAAACUGGCAGGCUGGAGUGCCGGAGAGGCAGGCGGAAUUCCUAGUGUAGCGGUGAAAUGCGUAGAUAUUAGGAGGAACACCGGUGGCGAAGGCGGCCUGCUGGACGGUGACUGACGCUGAGGCUCGAAAGCGUGGGGAGCAAACAGGAUUAGAUACCCCAGUAGUC